rnacentral:rRNA from 1 species
UACAGAGGGGGCAAGCGUUGUUCGGAAUUACUGGGCGUAAAGGGCGCGUAGGCGGCCUGUUAAGUCGGACGUGAAAUCCCCGGGCUCAACCCGGGAACUGCGUCCGAUACUGGCAGGCUUGAAUCCGGGAGAGGGAUGCGGAAUUCCAGGUGUAGCGGUGAAAUGCGUAGAUAUCUGGAGGAACACCGGUGGCGAAGGCGGCAGCCUGGACCGGCAUUGACGCUGAGGCGCGAAAGCCAGGGGAGCAAACGGG